rnacentral:tRNA from 1 species
GCCUGGCUGGCUCAGUCAAAAGAGCAUGUGACUCUUGAUCUCAGGGUUGUGAGUUCAAGCCCCACUUUGGGCA